rnacentral:rRNA from 1 species
GACGAACGCUGGCGGCGUGCUUAACACAUGCAAGUCGAACGGUAAGGCCCUUCGGGGUACACGAGCGGCGAACGGGUGAGUAACACGUGGGUGAUCUGCCCUGCACUUCGGGAUAAGCCUGGGAAACUGGGUCUAAUACCGGAUAGGACUCCGGACUGCAUGGUCUGGGGUGGAAAGCUUUUGCGGUGUGGGAUGGGCCCGCGGCCUAUCAGCUUGUUGGUGGGGUGAUGGCCUACCAAGGCGACGACGGGUAGCCGGCCUGAGCGGGUGACCGGCCACACUGGGACUGAGAUACGGCCCAGACUCCUACGGGAGGCAGCAGUGGGGAAUAUUGCACAAUGGGCGCAAGCCUGAUGCAGCGACGCCGCGUGAGGGAUGACGGCCUUCGGGUUGUAAACCUCUUUCAGCAUCGACGAAGCGAAAGUGACGGUAGGUGCAGAAGAAGGACCGGCCAACUACGUGCCAGCCGCCGCAGUAA